GCCAGACUCCUACGGGAGGCAGCAGUCGGGAAUAUUGCGCAAUGGAGGAAACUCUGACGCAGUGACGCCGCGUAUAGGAAGAAGGUUUUCGGAUUGUAAACUAUUGUCGUUAGGGAAGAUAAAAGACAGUACCUAAGGAGGGAGCUCCGGCUAACUACGUGCCAGCAGCCGCGGUAAUACGUAGGGAGCAAGCGUUAUCCGGAUUUACUGGGUGUAAAGGGAGCGUAGACGGCAAUACAAGUCGGAAGUGAAAUACCCGGGCUCAACCUGGGAACUGCUUUGGAAACUGUAUGGCUGGAGUGCUGGAGAGGUAAGCGGAAUUCCUAGUGUAGCGGUGAAAUGCGUAGAUAUUAGGAGGAACACCAGUGGCGAAGGCGGCUUACUGGACAGUAACUGACGUUGAGGCUCGAAAGCGUGGGGAGCAAACAGGAUUAGAUACCCGCGUAAC
rnacentral:rRNA from 1 species